rnacentral:lncRNA from 9 species
CAGGAAAUGCUGUUUUGAGCAGGACUCUCCUCCUCGGGGCAAGGACCCUUGGCUUUUCUGUGUCUUCCCUUCCGAGGCUACACCUUUGGGAACUGGCCGUGGGGGCACCUCUGUGGACAAGCGACCCUGGAUUAGGAUCAAGGUUUCCGCCCCUCUCCGUCCAAUGGCAUCUGCGUGCUGAGCCCACCUGCCCUCAAGCCAUCAGCAUGGGACGCAUAACCCCAGGGAUCCAGGUGAGAAGAAAAGGAUGACAACAGUCUGGAAGGUGGGUGAGUCGCUGUCAUCAUCUUUGGGCAGCAAUG